rnacentral:lncRNA from 1 species
AGACAAUGCGAAAUCAUGGUUGAUCCAUGGUCGUGACCAAGGCCGUCGGAGUGGUCAAGUCAGGACUGGUCAAUCCAUCAUAGAAAGAUUUGAUGAAUGUUAAGGUGGUGCUUCCUCUAAACCCUUUAUGGAAGCUUCUGUGAAGAUGCUAGUGUGUGUGGUCUUGAUAAGUGCGAAACACUAGGCGAGGAAGAUGGAAAGUUGGAUGAUGAUUCUUAUUAGGAUCCUAGGCAGUAUCACAAAGAAGAGCAAAUCGAGGAUAGUUGAAUAUAACAUCAUUUGAGGUAAAAAGUAAGGAGAC